ensembl:misc_RNA Metazoa_SRP Metazoan signal recognition particle RNA
GCCGGGCGUGGUGGUGCAUGCCUGUAGUCCUAGCUACUUGGGAGGCUGAGUCAGAAGAAUCACUUGAACCCGGGAGGUGGAAGUUGCAGUGAGCCGAGACCAUGCCAUUGCACCCCAGCCUGGGUGACAGAGUGAGACUCUGUCUCAA